rnacentral:rRNA from 1 species
UACGGAGGAUCCAAGCGUUAUCCGGAAUUACUGGGCGUAAAGAGUUGCGUAGGUGGCAUAGUAAGCAGACAGUGAAAUCGUGUGGCUCAACCAUACUCACAUUGUCUGAACUGCUAAGCUUGAGUAUAGGAGAGGUUAUUGGAAUUCCCAGUGUAGGAGUGAAAUCCGUAGAUAUUGGGAGGAACACCAAUGGCGUAGGCAGAUAACUGGCCUAUUACUGACACUAAGGCACGAAAGCGUGGGGAGCAAACGGG